rnacentral:rRNA from 1 species
GAUGAACGCUGGCGGCGUGCUUAACACAUGCAAGUCGAACGGAAAGGCCCUUCUUUGCUGGGGUACUCGAGUGGCGAACGGGUGAGUAACACGUGGGUGACCUGCCCUGCACUUUGGGAUAAGUUUGGGAAACUGGGUCUAAUACCGGAUAGGACGUCGGUCUGGAUGCCAUUGUGGAAAGUUUUUCGGUGUGGGAUGAGCUCGCGGCCUAUCAGCUUGUUGGUGGGGUAAUGGCCUACCAAGGCGUCGACGGGUAGCCGGCCUGAGAGGGUGUACGGCCACAUUGGGACUGAGAUACGGCCCAGACUCCUACGGGAGGCAGCAGUGGGGAAUAUUGCACAAUGGGCGCAAGCCUGAUGCAGCGACGCCGCGUGGGGGAUGACGGCCUUCGGGUUGUAAACUCCUUUCGCUAGGGACGAAGCGCAAGUGACGGUACCUGGUGAAGAAGCACCGGCUAACUACGUG